AAAAAAUUAGUUAAUUAUAAUAUUAAAAUGUCAUUUUGAAGUUACUUUAAAGUAUUUUUUU
rnacentral:tRNA from 1 species